rnacentral:ncRNA from 1 species
AAUCUUCGGGGCAGGGUGCAAUUCCCUACCGGCGGUACAGCCCGCGACUCUUGUAUAAGAUUGAUUCGGUGUAAUUCCGAAGCCGACAGUAUAGUCUGGAUGGAAGAAGACG